rfam:Ornithorhynchus anatinus chromosome 2, whole genome shotgun sequence.
CCCCUCUCAAGGUUGCACCUGGAGAGUUUUUAGGACUCUACCUAUCUCAGCUAUGGGAGGGAGAGUCAAGCAGAGGCAUGCCCGUUCCAUUCCUAGCUUGGGCAGUUGUUAGCGAGUGGAAGGCAAUCUGCUACAAGU